CCCUGGAGCUGCACCUGCUCCCUUCACCACCACAGGAAGAGUCUGGCCUUCCUCAGCUGUCUUGAGGCAUUUAUUCAGGCCAUGAGUGCAUCAGGGAUGCAAGUGAAAGAAGAUGCUAAAGAAAGAGAGGAAGAAAUAUGUGUGUGGCCCAGGAUGCUGGCCAACCGAAAUAGGAGAUGCUGUGACACAGUUGGGAACAAGAGCACAAAAAGUCAAGCAGAGACAUUCCAAGCACCUGCAAGGCAAUACCUGAUACCUGCCUCCCAAGCUAAUCUCUACUCAUCCCUACUACAAACGAGUAACUAGACACUCCACCUGGAUGGUGAAGAUAGGCACCUGGCAGGAAAGGUGCAGAGUGGAGUGAAGGUUGCUGCUACAUCGGGAUUACAGACUGCCUUAAAGGAGCAAAUUAAUUCAACACUCUGCCUCUAUGACAGCGUUGAACUCAAGUUUGUGUUUGAGUCAAGACAAUAUUGAUCAUUCUCAAGCUCAUAUGUGAAAGAAGAUGGAAAAAAAAGCAUUAAAACAGUAUUCAGGAGGAUCAAGUCAAUUGGAAUGAAAUCUUAGAAAACGUGAACCUUAAAUAUCUCAAAUUCAUAACACUCUCUUCGUUUUGUGAAAGUCAUAUACAGGGAAAACUAAAAAGAGCAAAGAUCUAUAAUUCAACUGUCAAAAGUAGUCAUCAAUUCCUUAUUCCAAAAUUCACACCAAUAGGUCUGUCAACACUAAUUUGUUGAGCAUUCACUGUGCGCCAAGCAUUGUUAAAGACCUCUAGGGAAGAGUUUCAUCCUCACUGGAACCA